GUGGGGAAUUUUGGACAAUGGGCGAAAGCCUGAUCCAGCCAUGCCGCGUGCAGGAUGAAGGCCUUCGGGUUGUAAACUGCUUUUGUACGGAACGAAAAGACUCCUUCUAAUAAAGGGGGUCCAUGACGGUACCGUAAGAAUAAGCACCGGCUAACUACGUGCCAGCAGCCGCGGUAAUACGUAGGGUGCAAGCGUUAAUCGGAAUUACUGGGCGUAAAGCGUUCGCAGGCGGUUAUAUAAGACAGAUGUGAAAUCCCCGGGCUCAACCUGGGAACUGCAGUUGUGACUGUAUAGAUAGAGUACGGUAGAGGGGGAUGGAAUUCCGCGUGUAGCAGUGAAAUGCGUAGAUAGGCGGAGGAACACCGAUGGCGAAGGCAAUCCCCUGGACCUGUACUGACGCUCAUGCACGAAAGCGUGGGGAGCAAACAGGAUUAGAAACCCGGGUAGUCC
rnacentral:rRNA from 1 species